rnacentral:rRNA from 1 species
UACGUAGGGUGCAAGCGUUGUCCGGAAUUAUUGGGCGUAAAGAGCUCGUAGGCGGUCUGUUGCGUCCGCUGUGAAAACUCGGGGCUUAACCCCGAGCCUGCAGUGGAUACGGGCAGACUAGAGGUAGGUAGGGGAGAAUGGAAUUCCCAGUGUAGCGGUGAAAUGCGUAGAUAUUGGGAGGAACACCAGUGGCGAAGGCGGCUCACUGGACCGGUUCUGACGCUGAGGCGCGAAAGCGUGGGGAGCAAACGGG